rnacentral:sRNA from 1 species
GCUGGGUGUAGUAGCAUACACCUGUAAUCCCAGUGACUUGGGAGGCUGAGGUAGGAGGUUCGUGAGUUCAAAGCCAGCCUCAA